UCAAGUGUCCUCUCUUCCAGCUCCACCGUCAACUUCUAGUGGCGGCUACGGUGACUUAUGUUUGGCGGGCCAUACGUUUAGAAAGCUGAAUCAGCACCGCUACCACCCAGUUGGCUUCUGCAGUCUUCCUCUACUGCCUUCCUCUUCUGUGGCACCUUCUAUAUGAGUUCAAGAGGCAUCGAUGUCACCGUGCACCCAGUAAACGACUUUCCGUUCGUUUUAA